GAUUCCCUGGUUACUAUCUCUAAGCACUGAAGUCGGUGUUUGGAGAAAGGGACUCAGGCUUAUCAAAGUUUUGGCUUUGUUGCAAGAGCAGGUCAAGAUUUAGCUGUUCUUCAGUGAACAAGUGUGCAGAUUGUCAAAUAUGUCAGUUCAUCAAAUAAGAAAACAUGCAGUUCUCCCACCUAUCAUUUGUGGAAGUGACAAGGAAUUUUUGGAAAGUGUGCAAAGAUACAUAAUUACAGAAACUGAAAGACUGGGCUGUAGUGAGGAAGGACCUGCUGAUGAAUAUUACAUCAUAUACCGAAAUGUUUUUGAUAAGGCACCCACUGUUUCUGUUUUCUUCUGUUAUCCUUCCAGAGAUUUUCUAUGCCUAAACACCAUUUGAAGCCAUGAAUGUGUAGUGAUGAGGGGUUUUUUACAGUUGCACAUGACAUCCUGGGAAUAGAAAUGCAAUUAGAUAUUGAGAAUAUUGAUGAGCCAAUAGGAGCUGAUGGGUUAGAAAAAUAAGGAGGUGAAGAGAAUCCAGGAUUUUAAGGUUUAAAUGAAGUUAGAGACUAGAUUUGGAGCGAGUAAGAAAAG
rnacentral:sRNA from 1 species